UACGUAGGGUGCGAGCGUUAAUCGGAAUUACUGGGCGUAAAGCGUGCGCAGGCGGUUCGUUAAGUCAGAUGUGAAAGCCCCGGGCUCAACCUGGGAACUGCAUUUGAAACUGGCGGGCUUGAGUGUGGCAGAGGGGGGUGGAAUUCCGCGUGUAGCGGUGAAAUGCGUAGAUAUCUGGAGGAACACCGGUGGCGAAGGCGGCAUCCUGGACCACGACUGACACUGAAAAGCGAAAGCCAGGGGAGCAAACGGG
rnacentral:rRNA from 1 species